rnacentral:rRNA from 1 species
UACAGAGGAUGCAAGCGUUAUCCGGAAUGAUUGGGCGUAAAGCGUCUGUAGGUGGCUUUUUAAGUCCGCCGUCAAAUCCCAGGGCUCAACUCUGGACAGGCGGUGGAAACUACCAAGCUGGAGUACGGUAGGGGCAGAGGGAAUUUCCGGUGGAGCGGUGAAAUGCGUAGAGAUCGGAAGGAACACCUGUGGCGAAAGCGGCUCACUGGACCAUUACUGACGCUGAUGCACGAAAGCUAGGGGAGCAAACAGG